rnacentral:rRNA from 1 species
GGACUACAGGGGUUUCUAAUCCCGUUCGCUCCCCUGGCUUUCGCGCCUCAGCGUCAGAGGGCGUCCAGCACGCCGCUUUCGCCACCGGCGUUCCUUCGGAUAUCUACGCAUUUCACCGCUCCACCCGAAGUUCCGCGUGCCCCUCCGCCCCUCGAGGCCCCCGGUAUCCGCGGCGCUUCCCCGGUUGGGCCGGGGGCUUUCACCGCGGACCUCGGGGCCCGCCUACGCGCCCUUUACGCCCAGUGAAUCCGAACAACGUUCGCACGGUUCGUCUUACCGCGGCUGCUGGCAC